rnacentral:misc_RNA from 1 species
UGCAGGAAGAGUGGGACAGGUGGGUGAGCGAAUGGAAGCGUCUGCACGAGGAAGAGAAGGAGCUGAGGCGGCAGUUAAGGGACGGAGAGGAGAGCGACGAAGAGGAGGAAUACGAAGACAAGGAGGUUGAGAUGGAGGAGGUGAUUGAAGUGAAAGAGGAAGUGUUUGAGGAGGAUGAGCAGUAGUAGACUCAUUUUCUUUUUAGUGUUA